GCGAUACCUAGUGUGAAUUGCAGAAUUCCGCGAAUCAUCGAGUUUUUGAACGCAAGUUGCGCCCGAGGCUCGUACCGAGGGCAUGUCUGUCUGAGCGUCCU
rnacentral:rRNA from 1 species